GCCGGGGCGGGGUCUGGGCCCCGGCGCGCUGGGCGGCAGAGCCGCUGAGUGGCCCAGCUCGCAGGAGGAGGAGUCGUGGAGGGCGGGCCGGGACUGCUCUCCGCGCCGCCCGUGCUCGCCCUCGGCACCUGACCCGGCGAGAGGAAGGGGCGGGUCCAGAGAACACCCGGGACUUGAACGCUGGACCCUGAGAGAGGCCUCGGAGAGGGGAGGAAGGGUGAGGUCACGAUGUGCCUGGACAAAAACCCUUGGAGCAGGACCAGGACUAGGGUGAGACGCAUUUGCUACAGGGAUGCCAAAAGAACCCUUCAGUCAUCGAGAUAAACAGUAGUCAAUGCGAUACUUUAAAAAAGUCGUAUGGGCAAACUACAUCCUACUGGCCGGCCCCCUUGUUUUGUAAAUAAAGUUUAAUUGGAGUGUCAAGGCUGGGUUUAGGGUGAGGCAAGCGAGACAAGGUCAUGCAAGUGCAGGUUGGGAUCCUGUCUGUAUUUCAAAUGUUGAUCAUUUGUUCAUCAUGGAUUUUUGCAUUGCUUCUGAUUUUUUUAAAAUAGUACAUGAAAAAUCAUUUGUCUUAAUUACUGAGUUGUUUUUCACCAAGGUGAAUGCCUCACUCUUCCCACUCUAGACCGUGUGCUGUCCUGGAGCCAGUGAAACCAGACGAAAUUAAGGGAACAGCAGACGAAGGAACUGCCACCGUGCCCCAGACCCUGGUUUGCAAAUACAGUUCGACAAAGAUCUUGCCAGGAAUUGGCCUGGGAGAGUCCAAAGGACUGGGCUGGGGGUGGGGAAAUGAUUUUAGCCAGAAGACAAAUAUAGAGGUUGUACCCAGAAGGUUAAGAGGCUUAGGAAGGUUAAGAACUACGUUAACAUUUGGCUCCCAGGACCCCAGGUAAAGUGCCCUUGGAUUGAAUAGAUUUCUGAACUCCAGAAACAUUUAGAGGAAUCAAUAGAAUUAGAUUGGCAGCCAUUGUGCCAAUGGACAAGUGCUUACUGAGCCCCUUAAUCCCUUCACUGGGUAAGCAUUUGCCACACAUGUCCUCAAAAACCUACUUGUUAGCUUAAGUGGACUCCCUCAAGUUCAGAACAGGAGCAAAUAGUGUAAUCACAAGUUCCGUGUCUGAAUAAUCAUAACAAUGUUUAUAAAAAUAAGGACGACUGUUGAAAACUGCAACUGCAGCUGAACCUUAUGUGCCCAGACUUCAGAAUUCCCAUAGGCAAAAUGCCAGCAGGCCUUUGCACACUGAACACAUAGUGUUCAUAUCCUUCACUUUCCUUUCCUGCCCUCUCCUAUCUUCUCCAGAUCUGCCUGUGAAAGGACCCAAUUCUAGGACCCCCCAGGAUGGUUAGGCCCUUCCUCUGAAAGUACACUUUGCAAUUUGUUAGUCUCCUCAAGAACCCCAGCGAUCGAAACUGAUGCACACAAAUUGCAUGUGUUCAAAGGAGCAAUUUUGAAUCUAGCUUUGUUGAUCCUGGGAGAAAUCUUUGACCUGUGUUAGUGAAAGGCUAUGGUGUUUCUCAGCUGAUUAUAAUAGCGAGGUAGCUGAAUGCAAAAAAACAGUUUCAGAGAAUGGUAGAGUAUAUCCUCCAAAGGUGAUACUCGCUUCUCUAUUCUGGUGAGAGAAACAAGAGCUAAAGCAAAAUUCUACAGAGGGCUUUAUUUGGAGAGAGGUGGAUUUUAUUUAUAAUGCAUUUAAAAUUCAAAAUCUUUCUAGUUUGAACUCUUGACAUUCUGAUUAAUGCAUUUUUAUUCAACUGUUAAUUAUUCCUCGAUACACCUCGCCAUCACUUGUGUAUCCCUUUUCUACAUGUGACCUUUCCCUGGCCACAUCUGCUACUCUCUUUGAGCAUGAUGCCUCUACUGUAUUCUAUUCCAGAGCUCAUUGUUUUGUCAGUUUUUUUUCUCUCCACAAAAAAAGAUGAUCAAAUAAUUACAUAGAAUUUUUCCCUUCUCAGUCUUUGGGUAACUAAGUGUGGUUUUAUUGACGAUGAAAUACAAGAUGGGUCAUUUAAAAGCAACUUCUUGUCAUCACUUGGUAUUUUGCUAAAUCCACGGUGAGCUGGAGCUCCCGUAGUCACCUAUCACCGCGUGUAUUUUAAGGAGUCAGAUAUUCUCGAAACUGUUAAGAUCAUGAAAGACAAAGAGACUAAGGAACUGUCACAGAUUAAAGGAGACUAAAGAUACUUGACAACUGAAUGUAAUAUAUGACACUCAACCGGCUCCUGUACCAGAAAAAGGACAUUGGUUAUAUUGGUGAGGUUUGAAUAUCUGUAGAUUACCAAUACUAUUCUUGGUUAUGGUGGUUAUGUAAGAUUUAGAGAAGUUGAAUAAAGGAUAUAAGGACAUUUUUGUACUAUUUUUGCAACAUUUAA
rnacentral:lncRNA from 1 species